GAUGAACGCUGGCGGCGUGCCUAAUACAUGCAAGCCGAGCGAACAGACGAGGAGCUUGCUCCUCUGACGUUAGCGGCGGACGGGUGAGUAACACGUGGAUAACCUACCUAUAAGACUGGGAUAACUUCGGGAAACCGGAGCUAAUACCGGAUAAUAUAUUGAACCGCAUGGUUCAAUAGUGAAAGACGGUUUUGCUGUCACUUAUAGAUGGAUCCGCGCCGCAUUAGCUAGUUGGUAAGGUAACGGCUUACCAAGGCAACGAUGCGUAGCCGACCUGAGAGGGUGAUCGGCCACACUGGAACUGAGACACGGUCCAGACUCCUACGGGAGGCAGCAGUAGGGAAUCUUCCGCAAUGGGCGAAAGCCUGACGGAGCAACGCCGCGUGAGUGAUGAAGGUCUUCGGAUCGUAAAACUCUGUUAUUAGGGAAGAACAAAUGUGUAAAUAACUAUGCACGUCUUGACGGUACCUAAUCAGAAAGCCACGGCUAACUACGUG
rnacentral:rRNA from 1 species